AGCAGCUGAGCCCACUGAAAGCCUCCCUUUCUGAUCAGCACUAUGGCCACUUACACACUGGCCUGUGGAGCUGCUGGUCACAGUCAGCAGCAGCACCGUCAGGAUUCAACACCAGAUGGUAACUUCCACUUUCAUAUCAGUGUUAGUACCUCAGGAGAAACAGUGCUACUGCUCUAAGCACAAUUCAAAAUGAAGUUCAAGUGGCCAUUGGCUCAAGACUGCUUUUUUAAGUUGUCGAAAUGAGGUCUGUUGAAGAUUAAGAAGAAGACAAAUUAAAAAUGAAUAAUUAGCACUGUGGUUUUCCAUGCUGCUGAAUGUCUCUGGGGUGCGCAAAAGCAGGAAUCCAUGAUGACGUCCAAAGAGGAGGUGACACAGUUCCCACCCUCACAGUCCUGCCCCCCUCCAGUGUGGAGCUGAAGCAGGGAAAGGCCACACUGGUGUGUCUGGCCAACAAGGGCUUCCCCUCAGACUGGACUCUGCGCUGGAAAGUGGACGGUACCAGUAGGAGCUCGGGCGUGGCCGGGAGUGUGGGGGUCCUGGGGAAGGACGGCCUGUACAGCUGGAGCAGCUCCCUGACUCUCAGUGAGAACGACUGGGUGAAGGCAGGGUCACUGACCUGUGAGGCCACAAAGGGCUCCCUGUCUGCCCCCCCUCAGACACUGAGGAGAGCCCACUGUUCUUAGUAGGCCGGGUGGAGGCCCAGCUCACACACUCUGGUCACACUGUUUUUACCCUGUUCUGCCCUCAGCCUCUCUGCUCCUUACUGCUGUCACACUGAGCUGAGCCUGUGUGUGAAUCCUUCCCCCAGCCUGAGCUUUCAGUGCUAAUAUCUGACAUGUGCUCUGCUUGUGCUCUUCAACAAA